CUCGCCAGCAUUAGUCUGAUGGGAGUGUAGACCAGAAAGGAUCAGACGAUGGUGUGUUGUGUGGUGAUGCUGCAAGGUGGUUAAGUGUCGUGGUUAGUGCAUGAAGAACAUUUGAUGCCUGAGGAAUACCAAUGAGGAUUAAGUGAGUAUUUAGCCGUUUAAUAUCGAAGACAGAGUGUUCAAAAACAACGCUGAGGAGAAUAUCUGGACAUACAAACGUCUUCACACUCGACAACAAAAUGUAUAAGCCUUCUCUGAAAUAAAGUGGCCUUACAUUCAUGGAUUCCUGUACAAGGCGUCGGACAGCUGUUUCAGAUCUGUCCGCAGAAGCAUUGGACACUAUCAGGAUAAAGACGACAUUCAUUCAGCGAAAGUUUUGAAACCUAAAAAAAAAAAAAAACUUUUGUAGGCAAAUUAAAUUAUGCAAAUUAUUUUGAUUGAACAAAGAAUGCGAAAAUAAAGAAUCUCUGCUGCGAAGUGCCAGGUUCUGAUUUUCCUUUACUUAGAAAUUAGUGUCAAUAUCACAGAAACUUUGUAAUGGGUGUGGUGUGACAUUAUUCCAAGCAAUCCAACGGUGGAAUUACGAAUAAAUGGAUAGAAUCCUUUCGCGCAGAAAACAAACUUAACAUAACUGUGCUACAGAGUACGAAGUACACAAAUAGGCUACAAGUGUAAAGAAAAUGCUUUCUUGGGCAGAAAUAUUGGUGAAAAACUGAAGAUAAGCUAUUCAUGAAACAAACUGUUCACAGAACACAUUUGCUCAAACGAAACCAGGAAGAAAAAUUAUGUUUAUAGAUAAAACAGCUCUCCUUAUCGACCGUCAUCCUUUAAAGCUUAAGAGUUAAAUCUGUAUAGAAAU